UUUACUUAAUUUAUAAUUUUGUAUAUCGUUGUUAUAAAAAUAUUUUUUAAUAAAAUUAAUAUUUAAAAAUUAUUAUUAUAAAUUUAAAUCAGAUCAAGAUGCAGAUUAUAAUUAAGAAUAUAAUGGAUUACAAUAAAAUUAUUUAAAUGAAUAUUAGUUUGUAAAAAUUAAUUGAAAGUGGAUUUAAAUGUAAUUUUAUUUAAUUUAUUAAAAUGAUUAAAAAUUAAAAUAUGU
rnacentral:rRNA from 1 species